AUUGAACGCUGGCGGCAGGCCUAACACAUGCAAGUCGAGCGGAUGAAGGGAGCUUGCUCCUGGAUUCAGCGGCGGACGGGUGAGUAAUGCCUAGGAAUCUGCCUGGUAGUGGGGGAUAACGUCCGGAUACGGGCGCUAAUACCGCAUACGUCCUGAGGGAGAAAGUGGGGGAUCUUCGGACCUCACGCUAUCAGAUGAGCCUAGGUCGGAUUAGCUAGUUGGUGGGGUAAAUGCCUACCAAGGCGACGAUCCGUAACUGGUCUGAGAGGAUGAUCAGUCAGAUGGGAAGUGAGACACGGUCCAGACUCCUACGGGAGGCAGCAGUGGGGAAUAUUGGACAAGGGGCGAAAGCCUGAUCCAGCCAUGCCGCGUGUGUGAAGAAGGUCUUCGGAUUGUAAAGCACUUUAAGUUGGGAGGAAGGGCAGUAAGUUAAUACCUUGCUGUUUUGACGUUACCAACAGAAUAAGCACCGGCUAACUUCGUG
rnacentral:rRNA from 1 species